rnacentral:rRNA from 1 species
ACGGCUCAGUAACACGUGGAUAACCUGCCCUUAGGACUGGCAUAACCCCGGGAAACUGGGGAUAAUUCCGGAUAGUUCAUGGUAGUUGGAAUGCUCCAUGAUCGAAAGCUAUUGCGCCUAAGGAUGGGUCUGCGGUCUAUCAGGUAGUAGUGGGUGUAAUGUACCUACUAGCCGACGACGGAUACGGGUUGUGGGAGCAAGAGCCCGGAGAUGGAUUCUGAGACAUGAAUCCAGGCCCUACGGGGCGCAGCAGGCGCGAAAACUUUACAAUGCGGGAAACCGCGAUAAGGGGACACCGAGUGCCAGCAUCUUAUGUUGGCUGUCCGCAUGUAUAAAUCACAUGUGUUAGCAAGGGCCGGGCAAGACCGGUGCCAGCCGCCGCGGUAACACCGGCGGCCCGAGUGGUGGCCACUAUUAUUGGGUCUAAAGGGUCCGUAGCCGGUUUGGUCAGUCUUCCGGGAAAUCUGACGGCUUAACCGUUAGGCUUUCGGGGGAUACUACCAGGCUUGGGGCCGGGAGAGGUAAGAGGUACUACGGGGGUAGGAGUGAAAUCUUGUAAUCCUCGUGGGGCCACCAGUGGCGAAGGCGUCUUACCAGAACGGGUCCGACGGUGAGGGACGAAAGCUGGGGGCACGAACCGGACUAGAUACCCGGGUAGUCCCAGCCGUAAACUAUGCUCGCUAGGUGUCAGGGACGGUGCGACCGUUUCUGGUGCCGCAGGGAAGCCGUGAAGCGAGCCACCUGGGAAGUACGGUCGCAAGGCUGAAACUUAAAGGAAUUGGCGGGGGAGCAC